rnacentral:rRNA from 1 species
AUUGAACGCUGGCGGCAUGCCUUACACAUGCAAGUCGAACGGCAGCACGGGGCAACCUGGUGGCGAGUGGCGAACGGGUGAGUAAUGCAUCGGAACGUACCUUUCAGUGGGGGAUAACGUAGCGAAAGUUACGCUAAUACCGCAUAUUCUGUGAGCAGGAAAGCAGGGGAUCGCAAGACCUUGCGCUGAUUGAGCGGCCGAUGUCAGAUUAGCUAGUUGGUGAGGUAAAGGCUCACCAAGGCGACGAUCUGUAGCGGGUCUGAGAGGAUGAUCCGCCACACUGGAACUGAGACACGGUCCAGACUCCUACGGGAGGCAGCAGUGGGGAAUUUUGGACAGUGGGGGCAACCCUGAUCCAGCCAUGCCGCGUGAGUGAAGAAGGCCUUCGGGUUGUAAAGCUCUUUCGGCUGGGAAGAAAUCGCACAGGCUAAUACUCUGUGUGGAUGACGGUACCAGCACAAGAAGCACCGGCUAACUACGUGCCAGCAGCCGCCGUAA